rnacentral:SRP_RNA from 1 species
GCUGGACGCGGUGGCGCGCGCCUGUAGUCCCAGCUACUCGGGAGGCAGAGGCAGGAGGAUCGCUUGAGUCCAGGAGUUCUGGGCUGUAGUGCGCUAUGCCGAUCGGGUGUCCGCACUAAGUUUGGCAUCAAUAUGGUGACCUCCCGGGAGCGGGGGACCACCAGGUUGCCUAAGGAGGGGUGAACCGGCCCAGGUCGGAAACGGAGCAGGUCAAAACUCCCGUGCUGAUCAGAGUUUCACAUAUGCUUGAGGAAUUUAAAGAUGAGAGACUGAAUGGAAUUUGU